ACACACAUUUAGGAUACAGUAUGGCACAGAGACCCAGAUAUCAUCACUGUGGUGAUAUUGAUCAUCCCCGUGGUGAUUGGAAUCACCACAGCGAUACUGAUAAGAGCCUGGAAUUUCAGCUGUGAGAUAGGCAGAGAGAGAGAAAUAUAAAGAAAAUGAGAAAGAGAGGGAGACAUAAGGGAAAUAUGAAAGGAAAGGAUAAAAAUGAAAGUGUGGACUAAAGAGUUGACAACAUGAACUACUCCUUUUACACACACAUCAUUCUUUGCCCAUUCAAUUCUGCCCAGUGCAUUAGCUCCUCAUAAAUCAUUACCUUCUUUCUCUUUAGAGCCAAGACCAAUCACGCAGGCUCAUGCACACUAGUCAAAUGCCAAACAAAGCUCUCUUUCUCUCUCUCACUCACACACACAGAGUUAGGACAGAUGCUACAGUACAAGUAGCUAAACUCAUCUGGCUCAGUCUGUUUCCAUGGAAACAUGCUACUCUCUGCAACAAAUCAGCGACAACAAAAGAAAGAAAUGGAGGGAUGGAUGGAAGAAAAAGUGCCUGUGUCCACCUCGCCACAGCCCGUCCCGGCUGGAGAAAGCCAGCAAUCCUCUGCCCCUGCUGCACCGAUUUACCAAGACAAAUUCCUUGAAAGCAGUAGAAUGACAACUGAACAGCUUUUGUGGGCUCAGAGCUAUUCAAACAGCACAGGACACAGCACUACGGCAUUUUGAAAACAAGACAGCCUCAGGGAGGUGAGGCCAUGGAUGUAUUGACCCUGGAAACAAUACUUUUGCUUGGUUGUUAUGUCAGACCUCAGAGCCCACCUACCUAAUUUGCAUACGGACACAGAAAUAAGUAAAUGUAAAAACGUCUUAUUAUAAGUGUCAGCAAUUUUUCAUGUUUGUCACCAGACAUAAAACACCACCUGUCUCACAGCUUCAGCUUGUUUAUUCCCUCUACUUUUGUUCCCAUCCUUACUCUUAUCUGAGUCCUGUGAUCCGGGCCAUCAGCCUCUCAGGAAAUCAAACCGGAUAUGACAUGCUAAAUGGAACCUUAACCUCUCUCUCUGAGGAGAGAGAGAUGUUGUGACCUUGUCUUUUCCCCAAUAACGAGUCAGCUUAUGGGAAAAACUGCUCUGCUUGGUCUGUACACUUGACACAUGCUCAACACAGGACCUAGUAAUGUAAAUAAAUUUUUUCCUCACAAUGCUUCCUUCUUUUGCUUUAAUAGUUAUUAUUUACUGCCAUUAGAAUUCACUUUACUCACCAAGAUUAUUAAAGCCUUGUUUUAUCA